AACGAACGCUGGCGGCGCGCUUAACACAUGCAAGUCGAACGCAUGCUUGAUCUUCGGGUUGGGCAUGAGUGGCGGACGGGUGAGUAACGCGUGGGAACCUGCCCUGAGGUUCGGGACAACCGUGGGAAACUGCGGCUAAUACCGGAUAUCUCCUUUGGGAGAAAGACUUGUCGCCUUGGGAGGGGCCCGCGUCGGAUUAGCUUGUUGGUGGGGUAACGGCCUACCAAGGCAUCGAUCCGUAGCUGGUCUGAGAGGAUGAUCAGCCACACUGGGACUGAGACACGGCCCAGACUCCUACGGGAGGCAGCAGUGGGGAAUCUUGGACAAUGGGGGCAACCCUGAUCCAGCGACGCCGCGUGGGUGACGAAGGCCUUC
rnacentral:rRNA from 1 species